AAUUAAUGAACUUGAUUAAGUAUAUGUUUUGAAAACAUAAUAUAGAUGUACAAUCAUCUAUUAAUUU
rnacentral:tRNA from 1 species